ACCUCGGUGGUGUAGUGGUAGCACGCGUCUCCUGUAUGGAUGAAGCGCGAGUUCAACUCCCGUCUGAGGUC